rnacentral:rRNA from 1 species
CGGGGGGUUCACGCCCCCGGGCCCGCGCCCGCCGAAGACCCCUGGAACGCUGCCUGGAAGGUUGCCGUCUGAGUAUACAAUCAAUCAAUUAAAACUUUCAACAACGGAUCUCUUGGUUCCGGCAUCGAUGAAGAACGCAGCGAAAUGCGAUAAGUAAUGUGAAUUGCAGAAUUCCGUGAAUCAUCGAAUCUUUGAACGCACAUUGCGCCCCCUGGCAUUCCGGGGGGCAUGCCUGUCCGAGCGUCAUUGCUAACCCUCCAGCCCGGCUGGUGUGUUGGGCCGCCGUCCCCCCUCCCCGGGGGACGGGCCCGAAAGGCAGCGGCGGCGUCGCGUCCGGUCCUCGAGCGUAUGGGGCUCUGUCACACGCUUCAGUAGAACCGGCCGGCUUGCUGGCCAUCACCUAUAUUUUUCUCUUAGGUUGACCUCGGAUCAGGUAGGGAUACCCGCUGAACUUAAGCAUAUCAAUAAGCGGAGGAAAAGAAACCAACAGGGAUUGCCUCAGUAACG